GUGGGGUGCUCAUUUUCGCCACAUCUUUCCAUGUUUUUCACAGUUUAUGUUGAGGUCUAUAUGUUUUUGAAGUAUACUGAUAUUUCUAUAUGAAGAUAACUUCAAAUGCAAAAUAUUCUUAAGCUUGAAAACGUGUUUGUUUGAAAAUAAUCAUCUGAAAAGUUAGAUUAAAGGGUGUUUGAAAUUGCCUGAUGUUGUGUCAAUGGGGGACACAUAUUCGCCGUUUUUAUACAUCUAUUUAAACCCAAAUAACUGCAGCUUUAAACAAUAUUUUUCAAAUCAAUUUCAUUUUAAAGGUGUACAGAACUGAAAUUUAGGGCAAUCAGUCAAAGAUUUUCUAAGAAAUACUUCUUUGAAAUCGUGUUAUUCAUUCAGAAAAUUGGCCGAAAAUCGUUAUCCGUUUUUCGGUCCUUUGCGGUAAGUGCCGCAAUUUUGUCGUAGUUUAAAAUAACAUCAUAUUUGUUAUAAAAAUCUUAGUUACCGGAAUAGUUCUUCCAUUUAAGCCAUCUUUUGAAGUAUUUACAACUCAAAAUUAUAAAACGGCGAAAUUGUG
rnacentral:lncRNA from 1 species